rnacentral:rRNA from 1 species
CCUACGGGAGGCAGCAGUGGGGAAUAUUGCACAAUGGGCGCAAGCCUGAUGCAGCCAUGCCGCGUGUGUGAAGAAGGCCUUCGGGUUGUAAAGCACUUUCAGCGGGGAGGAAGGCGUUAAGGUUAAUAACCUUGUCGAUUGACGUUACCCGCAGAAGAAGCACCGGCUAACUCCGUGCCAGCAGCCGCGGUAAUACGGAGGGUGCAAGCGUUAAUCGGAAUUACUGGGCGUAAAGCGCACGCAGGCGGUCUGACAAGUCGGAUGUGAAAUCCCCGGGCUCAACCUGGGAACUGCAUUCGAAACAGGCAGGCUAGAGUCUUGUAGAGGGGGGUAGAAUUCCAGGUGUAGCGGUGAAAUGCGUAGAGAUCUGGAGGAAUACCGGUGGCGAAGGCGGCCCCCUGGACAAAGACUGACGCUCAGGUGCGAAAGCGUGGGGAGCAAACAGGAUUAGAUACCCGAGUAGUC